rnacentral:piRNA from 1 species
UUUUUAUUCGAGGUUUCAGAC